UGGGGAAUAUUGGACAAUGGGCGCAAGCCUGAUCCAGUAAUGCCGCGUGGAUGAAGAAGGUCUUCGGAUUGUAAAGUCCUUUCGGCGGGGACGAUGAUGACGGUACCCGCAGAAGAAGCCCCGGCUAACUUCGUGCCAGCAGCCGCGGUAAUACGAAGGGGGCAAGCGUUGUCCGGAUUUACUGGGUGUAAAGGGCGCGCAGGCGGGAUAAAAAGUCAGUGGUGAAAUCCUACAGCUUAACUGUAGAACUGCCUUUGAUACUUUUAUUCUUGAGUUCGGGAGAGAGAGACGGAAUUCCAGGUGUAGUGGUGAAAUACGUAGAUAUCUGGAAGAACACCAGUCGCGAAGGCGGUCUCUUGGUCCGACACUGACGCUGAGGCGCGAAAGCGUGGGGAGCAAAC
rnacentral:rRNA from 1 species